ensembl:lincRNA
CAGGGAGAACGUCUGAGCUCAGGCUCCCUGUGCGUGAGAGACUGGCGACCCCGAGGGCGGCGGAAGCCGAGGCUUUCCACGCCCCAUGAGCCGCUCGCUCUAGAGCUGAGGGCAGGACCAGUGCGUCCCAGGCAGGGAGGCUGAAACAGCUCUGUAUGUUUGGAGAAAUGGGGAUUAGUUCCAGCAGGCUGGAGGGUGCUGCCUCCAACCCAGGUCUAGCAGGUGAUGUCCUCCAUUUCUUCAGCUCCAGGUCAGAGCUUCGUCCCAGCUCUGGAUUGGCUCACAUUUUGACCUCAAGCUCUGUGUCCCUUUUGCUGGACCCUGGACAUUUUCUCUUCUGUGUCACAGGAGGCCAGGACCUAAUAUUGACUCCCAACUCACCUCCAGUCCAGGUAAGGCCUGAGGAGGGAGAGAUGUAUCCACACCCCAAUCCCACUCCUGACAGGGAGGUCUGGGAAGGGCACACACCUGGAGAAAUGGGUCCUGGGGAAGGCCCUGGCCAUGGCAGCACUUUUCUACCAGAAGUUGCCGUGCUAUCCAGAGUACAAAGGCUGCACCACAGGCUGGCCCUGCUUCUCAUGCCUGGACUCCAGGUACCUGACAUGGCAGAGAGGUGGGGCCUGGUGCUGUGGGCACCGGGAAGUCCCCCAUCUUUUACAGAGCUGCCCGAGCUACCUCAGCAAGAUGCAAAGCAGAGUUUUCCCACUGGAUGUUUGGAAUUGGCUUCCCCAGCCAGGCUGUUACAGAAAUCCUCCAGCUCGUGACUUCUGAGGGGAGCAGAGUGUCAGAGCAGACAUUCUCUGAGCUUGGAGGCAGGGUCCUUUGGCCCCAGCAGUGGAGAGAGGAAGCUGCAGGGGCAAAGAGUCAGGUAGAUAAUGGUUUUUUAUUAGAGAAGUUGUGAAUUUACAGAGCAAUCUUGCAUGAAAUGUGGGAUUCGCAGAUGAUGUUUUAUUAUUAUUUUAUUAUCUUUUAAAAAAGAUACAUAGAUCACAUAAAAUGUUACAUUAAAAAAUAUAAGAGGUUCCCAUAUACCCUACUCCCCGUACCCCCCAUUCCUCCCAUAUCGACAACUUCUUUCAUUAGUGUGGUACAUUUAUAGCAUUUGAUGAGUACAUUUUGGAGCACUGCUACACAGCAUGGGUUAUAGUUUAUGUUGUAGUUAUAUGGAUUAGAGUGGACUUACUGGUAUUUUACUAUAGAAUUAUUGUGACUCUAGCAAUGGAAGAAAUUGUAUCAUUGAUGUGGAGACAGUGACCUCGGGAGUUGCUGAGGGCAGGGAGAGGGAGAAAGAGGUGUGAUACGGGGGCAUUUUCAGGACUUAGAGUUGUCCUGAAUGACAUUGCAGGGACAGAGGCAGGACACUGUAGACCCUGACCUUGCUGGAGGCACAGAUGGAGAAGUAGUCAGGCAGCACCGUUUGUUUUUGGAAGCAACAGAACAGAAAACCUCGUGCCGUUUCAACAAAGAAGGGAUGAAACAGCAGGCAAUUAGGCAGCAGCGUAUCAAUUAGUGAGCCAGAAAACUGCUUUACAGUAUUGUGAUGAUUCAACACCGUCACAAACAAAAACAAAAUCAGGACACAAACCCCAAGACAAAUUCCAGAAAGCCCACAGAAGUCGUUAAAUAAUCACAGCAUUUAAGUGCAUUUAGCACUCAUGAAAAUGGGAAAAAGGGAAGGAGCCCCUUGGUAGGGGAUGGAGAAUGUAACUGGCUGAGUUCUCGGCCUGCAGCAGCAAACGGUGGCAGGAUUCCAAUCUUGUGCUCCCCUCUCACCCGGGUCCCCUCCCAGCUGGAGCAGGAGCGGGGCUUCAGGCUGAGCUGGGCCGAGAGGACGCCUGGCGCCCACGCCCUCCUCGGCCGGACCAAGGGAGGCUGGCCUGGGCCCGCGGGAGCGCCGCCCUUGCAGGCCCGCAGAGGAGGGGCAGUGUUUCUCCAGCCACGGGCCCUGGACUGGAACCCAACGUCGGCACUCACCAGCUGUGACCUGGGAGAAGAGAAAUUAGCCCUUCAGAGGGUCUGCUGCCUUGUUUGUAAAAUCCCAAUGUCAUUGUCAGGAU